GGGUUGUGAGGUUAAGCGACUAAGCGUACACGGUGGAUGCCCUGGCAGUCAGAGGCGAUGAAGGACGUGCUAAUCUGCGAAAAGCGUCGGUAAGGUGAUAUGAACCGUUAUAGCCGGCGAUGUCCGAAUGGGGAAACCCAGUGCAAUUCGUUGCACUAUCGUUUGAUGAAUACAUAGUCAAACGAGGCGAACCGGGGGAACUGAAACAUCUAAGUACCCCGAGGAAAAGAAAUCAACCGAGAUUCCCCCAGUAGCGGCGAGCGAACGGGGAGCAGCCCGGAGUCUGAAUCAGCUUGUGUGUUAGUGGAAGCGUCUGGAAAGUCGCAGGGUACAGGGUGAUACUCCCGUACACUAAAACACACAGGCUGUGAACUCGAAGAGUAGGGCGGGACACGUGGUAUCCUGUCUGAAUAUGGGGGGACCAUCCUCCAAGGCUAAAUACUCCUGACUGACCGAUAGUGAACCAGUACCGUGAGGGAAAGGCGAAAAGAACCCCGGCGAGGGGAGUGAAAAAGAACCUGAAACCGUGUACGUACAAGCAGUAGGAGCCUCUUUAUGGGGUGACUGCGUACCUUUUGUAUAAUGGGUCAGCGACUUAUAUUCUGUAGCAAGGUUAACCGUAUAGGGGAGCCGCAGGGAAACCGAGUCUUAACUGGGCGUUAAGUUGCAGGGUAUAGACCCGAAACCCGGUGAUCUAGCCAUGGGCAGGUUGAAGGUUGGGUAACACUAACUGGAGGACCGAACCGACUAAUGUUGAAAAAUUAGCGGAUGACUUGUGGCUGGGGGUGAAAGGCCAAUCAAACCGGGAGAUAGCUGGUUCUCCCCGAAAGCUAUUUAGGUAGCGCCUCGUGAACUCAUCUUCGGGGGUAGAGCACUGUUUCGGCUAGGGGGUCAUCCCGACUUACCAACCCGAUGCAAACUACGAAUACCGAAGAAUGUUAUCACGGGAGACACACGGCGGGUGCUAACGUCCGUCGUGAAGAGGGAAACAACCCAGACCGCCAGCUAAGGUCCCAAAGUCAUGGUUAAGUGGGAAACGAUGUGGGAAGGCCCAGACAGCCAGGAUGUUGGCUUAGAAGCAGCCAUCAUUUAAAGAAAGCGUAAUAGCUCACUGGUCGAGUCGGCCUGCGCGGAAGAUGUAACGGGGCUAAACCAUGCACCGAAGCUGCGGCAGCGACACUAUGUGUUGUUGGGUAGGGGAGCGUUCUGUAAGCCGUUGAAGGUGGCCUGUGAGGGUUGCUGGAGGUAUCAGAAGUGCGAAUGCUGACAUAAGUAACGAUAAUGCGGGUGAAAAACCCGCACGCCGGAAGACCAAGGGUUCCUGUCCAACGUUAAUCGGGGCAGGGUGAGUCGACCCCUAAGGCGAGGCCGAAAGGCGUAGUCGAUGGGAAACAGGUUAAUAUUCCUGUACUCGGUGUUACUGCGAAGGGGGGACGGAGAAGGCUAUGUUGGCCGGGCGACGGUUGUCCCGGUUUAAGCAUGUAGGCGGAUGUUCCAGGUAAAUCCGGAACGUUAUAACGCUGAGGUGUGAUGACGAGGCACUACGGUGCUGAAGUGACAAAUGCCCUGCUUCCAGGAAAAGCCUCUAAGCAUCAGGUAACAUCAAAUCGUACCCCAAACCGACACAGGUGGUCAGGUAGAGAAUACCAAGGCGCUUGAGAGAACUCGGGUGAAGGAACUAGGCAAAAUGGUGCCGUAACUUCGGGAGAAGGCACGCUGAUAUGUAGGUGAAGUGGUUUACCCAUGGAGCUGAAAUCAGUCGAAGAUACCAGCUGGCUGCAACUGUUUAUUAAAAACACAGCACUGUGCAAACACGAAAGUGGACGUAUACGGUGUGACGCCUGCCCGGUGCCGGAAGGUUAAUUGAUGGGGUUAUCCGUAAGGAGAAGCUCUUGAUCGAAGCCCCGGUAAACGGCGGCCGUAACUAUAACGGUCCUAAGGUAGCGAAAUUCCUUGUCGGGUAAGUUCCGACCUGCACGAAUGGCGUAAUGAUGGCCAGGCUGUCUCCACCCGAGACUCAGUGAAAUUGAACUCGCUGUGAAGAUGCAGUGUACCCGCGGCAAGACGGAAAGACCCCGUGAACCUUUACUAUAGCUUGACACUGAACACUGGUCCUUGAUGUGUAGGAUAGGUGGGAGGCUUUGAAGUGUGGACGCCAGUCUGCAUGGAGCCAUCCUUGAAAUACCACCCUUUAAUGGCUGGUGUUCUAACGUGGGCCCCUAAUCGGGGUUGCGGACAGUGUCUGGUGGGUAGUUUGACUGGGGCGGUCUCCUCCUAAAGAGUAACGGAGGAGCACGAAGGUCAGCUAAUCCUGGUCGGACAUCAGGAGGUUAGUGCAAUGGCAUAAGCUGGCUUGACUGCGAGCGUGACGGCGCGAGCAGGUGCGAAAGCAGGUCAUAGUGAUCCGGUGGUUCUGAAUGGAAGGGCCAUCGCUCAACGGAUAAAAGGUACUCCGGGGAUAACAGGCUGAUACCGCCCAAGAGUUCAUAUCGACGGCGGUGUUUGGCACCUCGAUGUCGGCUCAUCACAUCCUGGGGCUGAAGUAGGUCCCAAGGGUAUGGCUGUUCGCCAUUUAAAGUGGUACGCGAGCUGGGUUUAGAACGUCGUGAGACAGUUCGGUCCCUAUCUGCCGUGGGCGCUGGAGAAUUGAGGGGGGCUGCUCCUAGUACGAGAGGACCGGAGUGGACGCAUCACUGGUGUUCGGGUUGUCAUGCCAAUGGCAUUGCCCGGUAGCUAAAUGCGGAAGAGAUAAGUGCUGAAAGCAUCUAAGCACGAAACUUGCCCCGAGAUGAGUUCUCCCUGACUCCUUGAGAGUCCUGAAGGAACGUUGAAGACGACGACGUUGAUAGGCCGGGUGUGUAAGCGCAGCGAUGCGUUGAGCUAACCGGUACUAAUGAACCGUGAGGCUUAACCUUACAACGCCGAAG
rnacentral:rRNA from 1 species